rnacentral:rRNA from 1 species
UAAAGCCUACGGGGGGCAGCAGUGGGGAAUAUUGCACAAUGGGGGAAACCCUGAUGCAGCGACGCCGCGUGAGUGAAGAAGUAUUUCGGUAUGUAAAGCUCUAUCAGCAGGGAAGAGAAUGACGGUACCUGACUAAGAAGCCCCGGCUAACUACGUGCCAGCAGCCGCGGUAAUACGUAGGGGGCGAGCGUUAUCCGGAUUUACUGGGUGUAAAGGGAGCGUAGACGGUUCUGCAAGUCUGAAGUGAAAGCCCGUGGCUUAACCGCGGAACGGCUUUGGAAACUGUGGAA